CACUGAAACACAGGUUCCCAUAUGAUCACCAAAGUUAAGAAACAUUGAACCUGGUUAGUACCUAGAUGGGUGACCACUUGGGAAUACCAGGUGCU